AAUGCCAGUCUUCGAGAACAAUAUCCAGCCCUGUACAACAUUGCUCGCGAAAAGAAUAAUACUAUUGUGCAAGUGCUCAGUUCAUCCCCAACAAAUAUUUUGUUUAGGUGGGAUUUGAUUGGCCCCCGACUUAUGUCAUGGCACAAUCUUUUAUCCUGUCUGGAUUCGAUUAAUCUUAGACAAGGCCGGGGUGUGUUUCGCUGUAACCUCACUACAUCAGGGCCAUUCACAAUAGACUCAAUGUACCGUGCACUCACGCAUUCUGAGGUACCAGUAAGUAAUAACAAGAAAAUCUGGAAGUCAAAGAUUCCACUAAAAGUUAAAAUCUUCAUGUGGUAUCUUCGUAGAGGAGUUGUUCUAAUCAAAGACAACCUCACACGGCGCAACUAG
rnacentral:rRNA from 1 species